UUGUUAUUUCAUUUUUCAUUCUGCAUUCUUUCAUUCUUCGUAUUAUGCUAGUAGUAGCCCCUGUACCUUGACUUGCGUGGGAUUUAUGGAUAUUGCCUGUUGUCUGUUGUUGUUGUUGCUGUGGUUGUUUCUUGCACUGCUUUGGAUUGGGUUAUCGGCUUGGGAAUCUGUGUGUGGGGCUGUUGGUGUUGAGUCCAGUGGUGUUUGCCCCCUAAUUGAGUAUAGUUUUGUUCCGGGAGUAUUUCUUUGAAUUUGUGUGCGCCUUGUAUUUCUUGUUGCUGCUUUACUACUACCAUCGUUUAUAUCUUUAUAUUUUCUUAUACUUUCGUGUAGUUGUGGCUGUGGGCGGUAAUGGUUGGAUAGGGUCAUGU
rnacentral:lncRNA from 1 species